rnacentral:tRNA from 1 species
GGGGUUGUGGCUCAGUGGUAGAGCACUUGCCUAGCAUGUGUGAGGUACUGGGUUCGAUUCUUAGCAAUGCCU